CGGCCGGUACCGCACCGGCCGGCGGGGCGUGGGCGCGGCGCUGCGGGGCGGUGCCACCGCUCCGGUCCGGUCCGGUCCGGUCCGGGCGACC
rnacentral:tRNA from 1 species